rnacentral:rRNA from 1 species
GCAGAAUUCGCCUUAGAGUUUGAUCCUGGCUCAGGAUGAACGCUGGCGGUAUGCUUUACACAUGCAAGUCGUACGAGAGUUUUUAACUCAAGUGGCGGACGGGUGAGUAACACGUAAGAAUUUGCCUUUAGGAGGGGGAUAACAACUGGAAACGGUUGCUAAUACCCCAUAUGCUUUCGAGUAAAAUGGAUUUUCCGCCUAAAGAGAAGCUUGCGGCUGAUUAGCUUGUUGGUGAGGUAAUGGCUCACCAAGGCGACGAUCAGUAUCUGGUUUGAGAGGACGAUCAGACACACUGGAACUGAGACACGGUCCAGACUCCUACGGGAGGCAGCAGUGGGGAAUUUUCCGCAAUGGGCGAAAGCCUGACGGAGCAAUACCGCGUGAGGGAUGACGGCCUAUGGGUUGUAAACCUCUUUUUUCAGGGAGGAAUCAAUGACGUGUACCUGAAGAAUAAGCAUCGGCUAACUCCGUGCCAGCAGCCGCGGUAAGACGGAGGAUGCAAGUGUUAUCCGGAAUCACUGGGCGUAAAGCGUCUGUAGGUGGUCAAAUAAGUCAACUGUUAAAUCUUGAGGCUCAACCUCAAAAUCGCAGUCGAAACUAUUCGACUAGAGUAUAGUAGGGGUAAAGGGAAUUUCCAGUGGAGCGGUGAAAUGCGUAGAGAUUGGAAAGAACACCGAUGGCGAAGGCACUUUACUGGGCUAUUACUAACACUGAGAGACGAAAGCUAGGGUAGCAAAUGGGAUUAGAUACCCCAGUAGUCCUAGCCGUAAACAAUGGAUACUAGAUGUUGAACAGAUCGACCUGUGCAGUAUCAAAGCUAACGCGUUAAGUAUCCCGCCUGGGAAGUGUGCUCGCAAGAGUGAAACUCAAAUGAAUUGACGGGGAAGGGC